UCUGUGGUGGUGGAGGACAAGAGGGUGGUGGGCUGGUAAGUCCCUUGCACUGGCUCUCACUGCCCCAGUGACAGCACGGGCUCUUCAGGUUCUAUCUGUUCACCCUGCACAGAAGAGUCUGGCCCCACAUAAGGUUCGCCAAAGGACCCUACCACUCACCGAAGCUGGCCCUCUUCAGUGGGAGCUGGAAAGGCCAAGAGCAGCAGGCCAAUGUUGAUCAGGACCUGGUUGGUUUCUGGGCAGACCUGGGAGCAGGCAGUGACAGUUAGACAGAGAUCCUAGAGUGGGAACACUCAUGCCUCCUGCUGUGCCCCAGCCUCACCUCCAAGAUGACUAUGUCAUAGUCACUGAAAGAGCAGAACUGGUGACCCCAAGUGGCAUCAUGGCGGAUGACCUCAUUGAUGACAUACUCGAAGUCCAGGGUAAGCUGCUCCACUGUCAGGUACUGGCCCUGGGGAUAGAUGGCAGAGAGCUAGGGGUAGCACCAACCACCCCCAGAUCCUGGGUCACCACCCAUGGCUUGCAUCAUGGCUACCCACCUGCAUGUCUGUCCGCUCUCGCAUGGGCCGUAAGUUGCGGCCACGGAGAUCAGUCACCACAAAAGGCAGGGAGAUCUUGUCAUCCUCAAACUCUGGGGAGGCAGGCAGAAGGUAGGAGCAGGCCAGCAGUCCUCUUGGGACUGCCCCAUCCCAGAUCCUGUCCCAGGAAGGCAGCUCACCAUCCUCAGGCUCUGUCCCUUCCCCAGACUGCAACACAUAGUGCAACUUGGUGUAAUUGAUGUAGCCAGGCUCAGGGGCAGUGGUCUCUGCAGCAGGAGGGCUGUCCCUGGGUACCACUUCCCCACUUGGGGCUUGCGGCUCUAAAGAUGGGCGGCAGCGGCUGCUUGAGGGCCCCAAGCUAGAGGGCAGCCGAGUUUCCUCCAAGGGACUACCCUUGGCCUCUUUAGCCCUGCGGAAGAUGUCAGCUACAAACUCCUUGGCCUUGGCAAUGGCUGGUGAGGGCUCAGGGGCUCCAGAGGGCUGGGCUGGGACCACCUCAACACCAAGACUGGGGAAGGCUGGGGCUGCCUCAGGGCUCCAAGGUCCUGGAGAACUGGGUGGGGCUGGGGGCAAAGCUGUGUGGUCAUACAGGAUUUGGCAGAAACUGCUGUCACCUGAAAAAAAAGCAUGACAAGUGGGCUUUGUCACCACAGUUCAAAGCCUGGAUUAGAAACCCACCUGAAGGAGCCCCCGAGAGCCAUUCGUGUUCAAGUCAGGCUGAGCCCUUGGAAGGGCAUGAGUUCAGAAAGCACAUAUAGUCUGAACAAAGACGAGACCUAUGCAGACAUGCAUUCAUUCAAGACUUUUAAAAAGUAUGCUGGCAGUAGAACCCAGGGCCUUUCUCAUGCUAGGCUGGUACUCAAACCUCAUCUUUGAACAUUUUUCAUGCUACUCAGAAAGGACACAGCAAAUGAGAUGCACAAAGCUUUGCCCUUCGAGUGCAGUCUGCAGUGAGAACAGGACACUGACCUAGUCCUCCUCUACCUCAGGAAGAGCACCAGGAAGCACCUGACUGUGCUCUGGACCUGAACCCAGCUGUGCACUCCAGGCUUCUACAAGGAGGGAGCAGCGGGGCAGAGCUAUGGUCAGACUCACUCUCGUCCUGCAGACACUGGCAUCAUCUACUUCCUAACAUGUCACUCUAGCAAGACCAAGAGAAAUGGCUCAGCAGGUAAAUGUGCCUGCCACUGGGUAUUUGGACCUGACUUCAAAAUUCCUGAAAUCCACAUGAUAGAAGAGAAUGAAUUCCUGAAAUGCAUAUGAAUACAUGCAUGCAUGGACAAAUAUACAAAUGUUUAAGUAAAAUAAAAUGUAAUUAAAAAGUAAAACAAAAAA